CCUACGGGAGGCAGCAGUGAGGAAUAUUGGACAAUGGGCGCAAGCCUGAUCCAGCCAUGCCGCGUGCAGGAAGACGGUCCUAUGGAUUGUAAACUGCUUUUGUACAGGAAGAAACACUCCCUCGUGAGGGAGCUUGACGGUACUGUAAGAAUAAGGAUCGGCUAACUCCGUGCCAGCAGCCGCGGUAAUACGGAGGAUCCAAGCGUUAUCCGGAAUCAUUGGGUUUAAAGGGUCCGUAGGCGGUUUAAUAAGUCAGUGGUGAAAUCUGGUCGCUCAACGAUCAAACGGCCAUUGAUACUGUUAGACUUGAAUUAUUAGGAGGUAACUAGAAUAUGUAGUGUAGCGGUGAAAUGCUUAGAUAUUACAUGGAAUACCAAUUGCGAAGGCAGGUUACUACUAAUGGAUUGACGCUGAUGGACGAAAGCGUGGGGAGCGAACAGGAUUAGAUACCCUGGUAGUCCACGCCGUAAACGAUGGAUACUAGCUGUUCGGAGCAAUCUGAGUGGCUAAGCGAAAGUGAUAAGUAUCCCACCUGGGGAGUACGUUCGCAAGAAUGAAACUCAAAUGAAAUUGACGG
rnacentral:rRNA from 1 species